CUACGGGGGGCACCAGUGAGGAAUAUUGCACAAUGGGGGGAACCCUGAUGCAGCAACGCCGCGUGGAGGAUGACGCAUUUCGGUGUGUAAACUCCUUUUAUAUGUCAAGAAAAUGACGGUAGCAUAUGAAUAAGCGCCGGCUAACUCCGUGCCAGCAGCCGCGGUAAUAGGGAGGGCGCAAGCGUUACUCGGAAUCACUGGGCGUAAAGGACGCGUAGGCGGGUUGAAAAGUCAGGUGUGAAAGCCUACAGCUUAACUGUAGAACUGCACUUGAAACUCUCAAUCUAGAGUAUGGGAGGGGCAGAUGGAAUUAGUGGUGUAGGGGUAAAAUCCGUAGAUAUCACUAGGAAUACCUAAAGCGAAGGCGAUCUGCUGGAACAUUACUGACGCUAAGGCGUGAAAGCGUGGGGAGCAAACAGGAUUAGAUACCCUCGUAGUC
rnacentral:rRNA from 1 species